rnacentral:lncRNA from 1 species
AGGUGUUGACAGACCCUCCGUUGAUGUUCUGUGAUGAGCCCACGUCGGGACUAGACUCGUUUAUGGCUCAAAAUGUAGUUAGCGUACUUAAGUCGAUGGCGUCUAAGGGCAAAACGAUAAUUUGUACCAUUCACCAGCCGUCUUCAGAAGUAUACUCUAUGUUCGACAAGAUAUUGUUGGUGGCCAGCGGCCGAACGGCCUUUCUUGGUACACCAAACGAAGCCAUCGAGUUUUUCAAAACGUAAUAGUAAUAUAAACAGUUGAGGUAAUAACAAUAUUUAUUUUUGUUCGGUUUUUCGUAGGCUCGGCGUCAGUUGCCCGAAGAAUCACAAUCCAGCGGAUUUUUUCAUCCAACUACUCGCCAUCGUACCGUCUCAAGAGCGGUGCUCGUACGACACCAUCGACACGGUUUGCGAGGCGUACGAAAGUUCGCAAUACAAGCGCGACAUGAUAGAAUAUCAAAAACGGUUGUCUUCGAAUGGCAGGGUAAGAUUCUAUAAAUUAUGACUUCGGGGGGGAGGGGAGCAAAAUAAUAUAGCCCUUUCUCGACUUAAAAGUCAGCACUUGAUAACACAAAAUAAAUAAAAAAUUGGACAUAUUUUUGUGAAAUAUAAUCUUCUCAUAAUUCUUCUCAUUUACCUUCAUCCCAACUGUUUAGGAUCGGCCAUUCUAGUCUUAUACUUCCACAUGAGCCGAUCUUAUAUCACUCAUCAACCGGCUGUCCUCAUACCAUUCUUAGUCGCAUCUAACUACUUUUUUUCGAUCUUCCUCUCUCCUUCUUUCCUCCUGCGUCUAUUUUCAUUACAAUUCUUACUGCUUCUGAUUCCUCUCUCCUUAUGGCUGCCCAAACUUUUUCAUUCUAUUUUCUCUAAUUUUGUCCACUAUCUAAGCUAUACCUAAGUUACCUCUUGUCUACUCAUUUAUUAUACUAUCUGCUCUUAUAACUCCACUUAUUUACCUAAGCAUUUUUAUCUCUGCUACACUUAUUAUCUCUUCUAUUUUAUUAUCGACCGCUCUAUACUCCAAACCAUACAACAUAGUCGGUCUCACCACGGUUUUGUAGAACUUACCUUAUAAGUCUUAUUGGGAUUCUCUUAUUACAUGAAAUGGCAGACGUUAGACUUACCCAACCACACUUAAACUUAUAUUUCACAUCCUUGUCAAAGUUACCGAUCUUUCGUACAAAAUAUCCUAGGUACUUAAAUACUAUCAUGUAUUACUUAUUGUUGUUAACUGUCUUGUCCUAUUGUUACAAACUCAUACUCUUAAUACUUUGUUUUACAACUACUUAUUCUUAGUAUCUUUUAUACAAGUGCUACUCUCCAUUCCACAAGCCUAUUACUAACUUCUUUCGAAUUUUCUCCUAUCAAAGCUAUAUCAUCUGCAAACAUCAUGCACCAUCUUCUCAUUUGCUGUUCUCGCUUACACCCGAGAUAGGAAAACCUACUCAAGUCUUGUUUAGAACUCCUCAUACUGUUUGACAGAAUUUUACACCAGCUAUCAACCUGAUGCAAUUCCAUUUGUCGCUUCUUACAAUAAAUAGUGGUCCUGUGGGAGUGUUCUCCUUCAAGGAGAAUGAUAUUUUCAACUAUAAGGUGAAUUCCUCUACCUUACAGAAACAAUAUCAUAUAAAUACUGGAAUCACCCACCUGGAAAUUCCACCAGUUAGAGCUCGGGACCCCGGAUUUACUAAACCCGUAGCAUUAUAUUCCCCUCGUGUGGUUAAAUACCUGUAUAUAUAAUACUAGCUGAAUUACCUGGCGUUACAGUUAGCAUUCAGUUAUGAAUCAGUCAAGACUUCUUCUUUUAACCUUACCUAACCUAACCUUACAUAUACAGAUAUAUAUUAUUAUUAUUUGUGACAACCAAAUUAUCAACUAUGUCAUCAAGGUAACCUUUAAAUCAACAAAUAAAAUUGAAUUAAUGUUCCAAAAUUACCAAAAAUCCAACUGCCGGCUAGGUGUGCCAUCCGACGUUUUCCGGACCAAUUUUUUUGUUAUUUCAUCUGUUUCACCAAUGAUCAUCGUCUCGUGAUUAAACUAAAAUAAAUAAAUAAAAAUUAGAUAUCCGUACAAAAAAUACCUUAAAAUUCUUAAUUUACCACCUUAGGGGUUAAAUUUUCAAAAACCCUUUCUUAGUGGAUGCCUGCAUCAUAGUAAUAGUUAUCUGUAUUCCGAAUUUCCGCCCAACCCAUCUAGUGCAGUGGUUUGUGUUCGACGAAGAUGAAUCAUUCAAUCAGGACAUGUUAUUUAUAAAUAAAUAAAUAUAUAUAUAUAUAUAUAGAGAGAGAGAUGUAUAUUAUAUGUAGACAGUAAGAAUCACAAUGCCAAUUAUGAUGAAAUAAUCUUAAGAAUUACUUUAUAGUUUAUAAAGAAUACAAUAAUUUUUAAAAUGUUAUAUUGUAAACACGUUGAACAAAAAAAAAAAAAAAAAAAACAAUUUAAUACCAAUUCAUUUUUUGUAACUCAAUAAGUUUUUUUUCUUUGCAGGAUUCGUUGGAUAAAAGUAAUUGGGACUCAGAUGGUUUACAAAACGUUUCGUCACCGUACAAGGCCUCAUGGACUGAACAGUUUUCCGCCGUGUUUUGGCGGUCGUGGCUAAGUAUAAAAAAAGAACCGGCUCUCACCAAAAUCAGGCUCAUCCAAACUAUUGUAAUAAUGAUAUGUGGAAAGGAUCUCGACUUUAUCUAAUCCCCGAUGCGUUAUUUUUUAGAUGGUUGCCGCUCUGAUAAGUUUCAUAUUUUACAACCAGCACUUGGACCAGGACGGUGUAAUGAACAUCAACGGGGCGCUGUUCAUGUGCAUAUCUAACAUGACGUUCCAAAACGUACUGGCAGUCAUAAACGUGAGUACCAUUAAAUACUAUGGCUAGAAAACAAGAUGUGUGAUUGUGUCAAGUGAUUAAAUGGAUGAGGAAGAAGUGGUUAUGAGGGCACAUGAAGUUUAACAAAGAUAUGAUGAUGGAGAUAUAGAGAUAAGGUAGCUGAUCUCAAACUUAAGUGGGAUAAAGACGAAUUCACUGACUUUAGUUUUUGUUUGAAUGGAUUGUGUAAAAUCAUUUUCCUAUUAUAUUUCCAUGGUAUAACAAGAAUUUCAAAACAUUUUUUUUUUUCUUGGCUUGCGGGUGUUUCCUUCAAAAUACGCUCCCGAGUAUACAAACCUGUGUUUUUACCUCUGCAGGUAUUCUGUUCCGAACUACCAGUGUUCAUGCGUGAACACCACAAUGGCAUGUACCGAACGGACGUGUACUUCCUAAGUAAGACAUUCGCCGAGAUACCUAUAUUCUUGGUGAUACCAGUACUGUUUACAUCCAUCAUGUACUAUAUAGUGGGUCUAAAUCCAAAGUUCGUUCAUUUUCUCACAGCCGUCUUAUUCAUAACGCUCGUCAGUUUGGUAGCCGUUUCGUUUGGUAAGUGUAUAAUUUCGGCCCAAACCUAACCUAACCUUGUAGGUACUGGUCAACGUUAG